UACGUGGGGGGCAAGCGUUGUUCGGAAUUACUGGGCGUAAAGGGCUCGUAGGUGGUCAACUAAGUCAGAUGUGAAAUCCCCAGGCUCAACUUGGGAACUGCGUCUGAUACUGGAUGGCUUGAAUUCGGGAGAGGGAUGCAGAAUUCCAGGUGUAGCGGUGAAAUGCGUAGAUAUCUGGAGGAAUACCGGUGGCGAAGGCGGCAUCCUGGACCGACAUUGACGCUGAUGAGCGAAAGCUAGGGGAGCAAACGGG
rnacentral:rRNA from 1 species